rnacentral:rRNA from 1 species
GAGUUUGAUCAUGGCUCAGGAUUAACGCUGGCGGCAUGCCUAAUACAUGCAAGUCGAACGGAGUAGCAAUACUUAGUGGCGAACGGGUGAGUAACACGUAUCUAAUCUACCAUUUAGUGGGGAAUAACUGUUGGAAACGACAGCUAAUACCGCAUAAUAUUGCUGGAUAAUUUCCAGUAAUGAAAGGAGCUUUCAAGCUCCGCUGAUUGAUGAGGAUGCGGCGCAUUAGCUAGUUGGUAGGGUAAUGGCCUACCAAGGCAAUGAUGCGUAGCCGAUCUGAGAGGAUGAACGGCCACAUUGGGACUGAGACACGGCCCAAACUUCUACGGAAGGCAGCAGUAGGGAAUUUUUCACAAUGGGCGAAAGCCUGAUGGAGCAAUGCCGCGUGACUGAUGAAGGUCUUCGGAUUGUAAAGGUCUGUUGUAAGGGAAGAAAUGGUAAAACAGGAAAUGGUUUUAUCUAUGACGGUACCUUACCAGAAAGCCACGGCUAACUAUGUGCCAGCAGCCGCGGUAAUACAUAGGUGGCAAGCGUUAUCCGGAUUUAUUGGGCGUAAAGGGUGCGUAGACGGUUUUGCAAGUCUGAGGUUAAAUUUAGG